rnacentral:siRNA from 1 species
AUAACGUGGUCCAUUGAGCAAACU